rnacentral:rRNA from 1 species
GCCAUCGGGUCAWGCCGGGCACUCUAGUGAAACUGCCUCGGAUAACGAGGAGGAAGGUGGGGAUGACGUCAAGUCCUCRUGGCCUUUAUGUCCAGGGCUACACACGUGCUACARUGGUCGGUACAAACCGUCGCAAACCCGUGAGGGGGAGCUAAUCGGAAAAAGCCGGCCUCAGUUCGGAUUGGAGUCUGCAACUCGACUCCAUGAAGCUGGAAUCGCUAGUAAUCGCGGAUCAGAACGCC